rnacentral:rRNA from 1 species
GUCGAGGGGUACAGAGGAGCUUGCUCUUGCUGACGACCGGCGCACGGGUGCGUAACGCGUAUACAAUCUGCCUUACACUAAGGGAUAGCCCAGAGAAAUUUGGAUUAACACCUUAUAGUUUAUUUUUAUGGCAUCAUUUAAAUAAUAAAGUUUACGGUGUAAGAUGAGUAUGCGUCCCAUUAGUUUGUUGGUAAGGUAACGGCUUACCAAGACUACGAUGGGUAGGGGCCCUGAGAGGGGGAUCCCCCACACUGGUACUGAGACACGGACCAGACUCCUACGGGAGGCAGCAGUGAGGAAUAUUGGACAAUGGAGGAGACUCUGAUCCAGCCAUGCCGCGUGCAGGAAGACGGUCCUAUGGAUUGUAAACUGCUUUUAUACAGGAAGAAUAAGGACUACGUGUAGUCUGGUGACGGUACUGUAAGAAUAAGGACCGGCUAACUCCGUGCCAGCAGCCGCGGUAAUACGGAGGGUCCGAGCGUUAUCCGGAAUUAUUGGGUUUAAAGGGUCCGUAGGCGGGCUGUUAAGUCAGGGGUGAAAGUUUGCAGCUCAACUGUAGAAUUGCCUUUGAUACUGAUGGUCUUGAAUUAUUGUGAAGUGGUUAGAAUAUGUAGUGUAGCGGUGAAAUGCAUAGAUAUUACAUAGAAUACCGAUUGCGAAGGCAGAUCACUAACAAUUGAUUGACGCUGAUGGACGAAAGCGUGGGUAGCGAACAGGAUUAGAUACCCUGGUAGUCCACGCCGUAAACGAUGGAUACUAGCUGUUUGGAUUUCGAUCUGAGCGGCCAAGCGAAAGUGAUAAGUAUCCCACCUGGGGAGUACGUUCGCAAGAAUGAAACUCAAAGGAAUUGACGGGGGCCCGCACAAGCGGUGGAGCAUGUGGUUUAAUUCGAUGAUACGCGAGGAACCUUACCAGGGCUUAAAUGUAGAUUGACAGGUUUAGAGAUAGACUUUCCUUCGGGCAAUUUACAAGGUGCUGCAUGGUUGUCGUCAGCUCGUGCCGUGAGGUGUCAGGUUAAGUCCUAUAACGAGCGCAACCCCUGUUGUUAGUUACCAGCACAUUAUGGUGGGGACUCUAGCAAGACUGCCGGUGCAAACCGUGAGGAAGGUGGGGAUGACGUCAAAUCAUCACGGCCCUUACGUCCUGGGC